rnacentral:lncRNA from 1 species
UAUAUUUUCUUUUUGUUCGUAUUUUGCCAUCACCAUAUGAUAAUACAUCUACAAUUAAGUGAAUUAAUUCUAUCAAUCAGUGGCUGGCCUACUUUUUAUCCUCUCGUUGAAGCACGAGAAUAAUGGCAAAUACUAAUAAUUAAAUAGGAAUGGUCAAGAUCUGAAAUCUGGUCUAGCCAAGAGGUCAGCUCUAAUGUCGGUUGACGGAGUAUUGUGAGAACGGCACAACACGAGACAAUGGCAUGGAGAUGGAAAACCUACGAAACCUUGGCCAGAGUCCGUCCAGUCAAAACCUUCAAACCUGUUCUUAUAUGGAAAACUUGUGAGACAACGGUACUGUGAGGCGAUACAACGGAGUGGAGAUGGGCGUUUACGGGGUGG